rnacentral:rRNA from 1 species
AGUGAACGCUGGCGGUAGGCCUAACACAUACAAGUCGAACGGCAGCACAGUAAGAGCUUGCUCUUACGGGUGGCGAGUGGCGGACGGGUGAGGAAUACAUCGGACUCUACUUUUUCGUGGGGGAUAACGUAGGGAAACUUACGCUAAUACCGCAUACGACCUACGGGUGAAAGCAGGAGAUCUUCGGACCUUGCGCGAUUGAAUGAGCCGAUGUCGGAUUAGCUAGUUGGCGGGGUAAAGGCCCACCAAGGCGACGAUCCGUAGCUGGUCUGAGAGGAUGAUCAGCCACACUGGAACUGAGACACGGUCCAGACUCCUACGGGAGGCAGCAGUGGGGAAUAUUGGACAAUGGGCGCAAGCCUGAUCCAGCCAUGCCGCGUGGGUGAAGAAGGCCUUCGGGUUGUAAAGCCCUUUUGUUGGGAAAGAAAAGCAGCAGGUUAAUACCCCGCUGUUCUGACGGUACCCAAAGAAUAAGCACCGGCUAACUUCGUG